UUGCAUUUUUCCAGGAAUUGCACUGGAUCGUUGAUCAUUUUGCAGAGUUACAAAAAAAAAUGAAAUUCAAUUUUGCCAGUUCUAUUAAUAUUACGGAUCGAAGUAUGGCUCCUUCGAAAUAUAUUACACGAUGUCCCAGGAGAGAAAGGAUGCUUUUGUUUCGAGAGCUCCGUGAGUCGAUAUCAAGGGACAACCUCAAUCAUUGUUAUACUCGUAUAUGCCAUCGGUAACAAGUUUCAUCUGCUAAAACUUGUGCGGAAAAUAUAUAGAAAGAAUCGAUCGAUUGUCGAUAUUUCGAAAUAAGCUGCUGUAAUAUCCUUAUUUCGAAACCCAAGAUAAACGCGAAAAUAUAAUGAAAAAAAGAAGACGGCAAAGAAUACGAAGGCAGGCAGGCCGAAGGAGCAAAGGUGGGAUUAGCAUAACGCGCGAUCGGACGUGGUUCAGCUCGACUGUGGUUAGUUAAUGGUCGCCGAGUAAUCAUUAUUCUCGACUGGCAAUACGCCGUGUGUAAGUCUCUACCUUGUGCGUGCAACCUAGCGGCAUGAUCCGCGUAUAUAAAUUAUUAUUGUCCGGCCAACGAGGUGUAUCGAUGGGCGGUCGCACCGCUGUCGCUUGUCGACGCCCAUGCUCGCAGUUCGCGAGAUCGCAGGCCGCGCUUAAACGCCUUUUCCGCCUUUUGCGCGUUUCCGCCGCAUCGUUUAAGUAAAUUCGA